rnacentral:miRNA from 1 species
UCCAACCACAGUCGACUGUUCU